CCUACGGGAGGCAGCAGUGGGGAAUAUUGGGCAAUGGGCGCAAGCCUGACCCAGCAACGCCGCGUGAAGGAAGAAGGCUUUCGGGUUGUAAACUUCUUUUGUCAGGGAAGAGUAGAAGACGGUACCUGACGAAUAAGCCACGGCUAACUACGUGCCAGCAGCCGCGGUAAUACGUAGGUGGCAAGCGUUGUCCGGAUUUACUGGGUGUAAAGGGCGUGUAGCCGGGUUGACAAGUCAGAUGUGAAAUCCUGCGGCUUAACCGCAGAACUGCAUUUGAAACUGUUGAUCUUGAGUACUGGAGAGGCAGACGGAAGUCCUAGUGUAGCGGUGAAAUGCGUAGAUAUUAGGAGGAACACCAGUGGCGAAGGCGGUCUGCUGGGCUUUUACUGACGCUGAGGCUCGAAAGUGUGGGUAUCAAACAGGAUUAGAUACCCUUGUAGUC
rnacentral:rRNA from 1 species